UACGUAGGGGGCAAGCGUUGUCCGGAAUCAUUGGGCGUAAAGAGCGUGUAGGCGGCCCGAUAAGUCCGCCGUGAAAGCCCAGGGCUCAACCCUGGGAUGCCGGUGGAUACUGUCGGGCUAGAGUGCGGAAGAGGCGAGUGGAAUUCCUGGUGUAGCGGUGAAAUGCGCAGAUAUCAGGAGGAACACCUAUUGCGAAGGCAGCUCGCUGGGCCACACCUGACGCUGAGGAGCGAAAGCCAGGGGAGCAAACGGG
rnacentral:rRNA from 1 species